rnacentral:rRNA from 1 species
CCUACGGGACGCAGCAGUCGGGAAUAUUGCGCAAUGGAGGAAACUCUGACGCAGUGACGCCGCGUAUAGGAAGAAGGUUUUCGGAUUGUAAACUAUUGUCGUUAGGGAAGAAAAAAGACAGUACCUAAGGAGGAAGCUCCGGCUAACUACGUGCCAGCAGCCGCGGUAAUACGUAGGGAGCGAGCGUUAUCCGGAUUUAUUGGGUGUAAAGGGUGCGUAGACGGGUCUACAAGUUAGUUGUGAAAUCCCUCGGCUCAACUGAGGAACUGCAGCUAAAACUAUAGAUCUUGAGUGCAGGAGAGGUA